rnacentral:snoRNA from 1 species
ACUGUCCCUAGAACGUUUCAGGAGUGUGUCAGUAGGUGGUAGAGAGGAGAGAGACUCGGGGUUCGGACCUAUGAACAUCAGAGCAAUUAGCAACCUAACAUU